UACGUAGGUGACCAGCGUUGUCCGGAUUUACUGGGCGUAAAGAGCGCGCAGGCGGUCGUUCAAGUCGAGUGUGAAAGCCCCCGGCUCAACUGGGGAGGGUCAUUCAAUACUGAUCGACUCGAAGGCAGGAGAGGGAAGCGGAAUUCCCGGUGUAGUGGUGAAAUGCGCAGAUAUCGGGAGGAACACCAACGGCGAAGGCAGCUUGCUGGGACGGCACUGACGCUGAGACGCGAAAGCGUGGGGAGCAAACAGG
rnacentral:rRNA from 1 species